rnacentral:rRNA from 1 species
AGUUUGAUCCUGGCUCAGGAUGAACGCUAGCGGCAGGCUUAAUACAUGCAAGUCGUGGGGCAGCAGGUUUGUAGCAAUACAGAUGCUGGCGACCGGCAAACGGGUGCGGAACACGUACAGAACCUUCCUUUGAGCGGGGAAUAGCCCAGAGAAAUUUGGAUUAAUACCCCAUAGUAUAAUGAAGUGGCAUCACUUUAUUAUUAAAGAUUUAUCACUCGAAGAUGGCUGUGCGGCUGAUUAGGUAGUUGGCGGGGUAAAGGCCCACCAAGCCUGCGAUCAGUAACUGGUGUGAGAGCACGACCAGUCACACGGGCACUGAGACACGGGCCCGACUCCUACGGGAGGCAGCAGUAAGGAAUAUUGGUCAAUGGAGGCAACUCUGAACCAGCCAUGCCGCGUGGAGGAUGAAGGUCCUCUGGAUUGUAAACUUCUUUUAUAUGGGACGAAAAAGGCUUUUCUAAGUCGUCUGACGGUACCAUAUGAAUAAGCACCGGCAAACUCCGUG